CAGGGCAGGUUACUGUGCUCCACAUUUAACACCUUGAUGUCUUGCACACCUAUCUAUCACAAACUGGCUUGGAAAAUGUGCAUAUCUGUAACUCAUAUACAUU